AGUGAACGCUGGCGGUAGGCCUAAUACAUGCAAGUCGAACGGCAGCACAGUAAGAGCUUGCUCUUACGGGUGGCGAGUGGCGGACGGGUGAGGAAUACAUCGGAAUCUACUUUUUCGUGGGGGAUAACGUAGGGAAACUUACGCUAAUACCGCAUACGACCUACGGGUGAAAGCAGGGGAUCCUCGGACCUUGCGCGAUUGAAUGAGCCGAUGUCGGAUUAGCUAGUUGGCGGGGUAAAGGCCCACCAAGGCGACGAUCCGUAGCUGGUCUGAGAGGAUGAUCAGCCACACUGGAACUGAGACACGGUCCAGACUCCUACGGGAGGCAGCAGUGGGGAAUAUUGGACAAUGGGCGCAAGCCUGAUCCAGCCAUACCGCGUGGGUGAAGAAGGCCUUCGGGUUGUAAAGCCCUUUUGUUGGGAAAGAAAAGCAGCAGGUUAAUACCCCGCUGUUCUGACGGUACCCAAAGAAUAAGCACCGGCUAACUUCGUG
rnacentral:rRNA from 1 species